rnacentral:lncRNA from 1 species
CUUACAACGAAGGGGAUUACUACAACAGAGGUCUGUUUCUUAUAAAUUUUUGGAAUAAUGAAGAAGAAUAGACCUACAGAAUAGAAGAAUAGAUCAUAUAUCACUGAACAAAACAGUUCCGCAGCCCAUUUUGAUGUCAAUAUAAUUGACUGCAGCAGAGUUGGAAACAGGAAAGAACAUGCAUAUAUACAUAUACUUCCCCCUACACCGCAGACUUCAUGAUACACGAAGAUAGGAAGAUUCGCUUUCAAAAAUGAUGCACUU